AGGUGGGUUGUUUCUGACUGGAAUUGGGUGUUGGUUUACAUUUGUUAUUUGUUUACACUAUCACUAUUAGUUUCUUCUUUCUUUAUGUUUAUUUAUUGUUAAGUGUGCAGGUCAUUUUAGAUCCAGAUUCAGUUUCAUAUUGAUGUAAAGUGUCCAGUUCAGGCAUCAACUUCUAUUUUUUAUGUUACGAAUAAGAUUAUACUUUGAUUUUUUCUUCUUCUUUUUUCCUCACGGGAUUAUUUUUUUAUACAGGAAUUAAAAGCAAAAUGAGGAUCAGAGUUGGAGGGAGUUAUCAAGAGUAACAUGAAAGCAGAACAAAAGGGAAGCAUCAUGGUGAGUCAACAUAAGCACCGAUCAUGACUUCUUCGAGCAGUGAACCAAAGUCGCUCUUCUUCGUGGACAAGUCCAAAGAUCCAAUUUGCUACAUGAGGCUUCCAAAGAAGAUAGUAGUAAGAGAGCAUAAAAUUGCUGCAGGAGGAGGUUCAUGUACAAGCAGCAGCUAAAAGGAUUUCAGGAUCAUAAUUUAAUUGUCAUGAUUUUUUUAUUUUUUUAUUUUUUGUUUUCUGUUUUCCUUUUUCAAUGGUUGCAAUACUAGCUUCAAUUACUAUAUUUUGGUGUAACGAGUUUUGUUUUAAAUAAAGACUUAUUCAAUUGCAUCUAUACCAAA